ensembl:lncRNA
GUAGUAGUAGCAGUAGUAGUAGUAAUAGCAGCAGUAGUAGUAGUAGUAGAAGUAUCAGUAAUAGUAGUAGCAGUAGAAGUAGCAGUAUCAGUAGUAGUAGAAGUAGCAGUAAUAGUUGGAGUAGCAGUAGUAGAAGCAGUAGCAGUAAUAGUAGUAGUAGUAGCAGUAGAAGUAGCAGUAAUAAUAGUAGUAGUAGCAGUAGUAGCAGUAGAAGUAGCAGUUAGAGAAGUAGUAGCAGUAGAAGUAGCAGUAGUAGAAGUAGGAGUAAUAGUAGUAGUAGUAGUAGAAGUAGCAGUAAUAGUAGUAGUAGUAGUAGUAGAAGUAGCAGUAGCAGUAAUAGUAGCAGUAGCAGUAAUAGUAGUAGUAGUAGCAGUAGAAGUAGCAGUAAUAGUAGUAGUAGCAGUAAUAGUAGUAGUAGCAGUAGCAGUAAUAGUAGUAGUAGCAGUAGAAGUAGCAAUAGCAGUAAUAGUAGUAGCAGUAGUAGCAGUAGCAGUAAUAAUAGUAGUAGUAGAAGUAGCAGUAGCAGUAAUAGUAGUAGUAGCAGUAGUACUAGUAGCAGUAGCAGUAGUAGUAGUAGUAGUGGCAGUAGCAGUAAUAGUAGUAGUAGUAGAAGUAGCAGUAAUAGUAGUAGUAGCAGUAGAAGUAGCAGUAGUGGGAAUACUAGUAGUAGCAGUAGCAGUAAUAGAAGUAGUGGCAGGAGUAGUAGUAGCAGUAGAAGUAGCAGUUAUAUUAGUAGUAGCAGUAGAAGUAGCAGUAAUAGUAGUAGUAGUAGUAGUAGCAGUAGCAGAAGCAGUAGCAGUAAUAGUAGCAGUAGCAGUAAUAGUAGUAUUAGCAGUGGAAGUAGCAGUAGUAGUAGUAGCAGUAGAAGUAGCAGUAAUAGUAGUAGUAGUAGUAGCAGUAGCAAGCAGUAGCAGUAAUAGUAGUAGUAGAAGUAGCAGUAGUAGUAGCAGUAGCAGAAGCAGUAGCAGUAAUAUUAGUAGUAGUAGUAGCAGUAGGAGUAGCAGUAGAAGUAGCACUAAUAGUAGUAGUAAUAGUAGUAGUAGUAGUAGCAGUAGCAGUAGAAGUAGCAGUAAUAGUAGUAGUAGUAGUAGCAGUAGCAGUAAUAGUAGUAGCAGUAGCAGUAAAAGUAGCAGCAGUAGUAGUAGUAGUAGCAGUAGAAGUAGCAGUAGUAGUAGUAGCAGUAGAAGUAGCAGUAGCAGUAAUAGUAGUAGUAGUAGUAGCAGUAGCAGUAGAAGUAGCAGUAGUAGCAGUAGCAGAAGCAGUAGCAGUAAUAUUAGUAGUAGUAGUAGCAGUAGGAGUAGCAGUAGAAGUAGCACUAAUAGUAGUAGUAAUAGUAGUAGUAGUAGCAGUAGCAGUAGAAGUAGCAGUAAUAGUAGUAGUAGUAGCAGUAGCAGUAAUAGUAGUAGCAGUAGCAGUAAAAGUAGCAGCAGUAGUAGUAGUAGUAGCAGUAGAAGUAGCAGUAGUAGUAGUAGCAGUAGAAGUAGCAGUAGCAGUAAUAGUAGUAGUAGUAGUAGCAGUAGCAGUAGAAGUAGCAGUAGUAGUAGUAGCAGUAGAAGUAGCAGUAAUAGUAGUAGUAGUAGCAGUAGUAGUAGUAGUAGUAGCAGUAGAAGUAGCAGUAAUAGUAGCAGUAGUAGUAGUAGCAGUAGAAGUAGCAGUAGUAGUAGUAGUAGUAGCAGUAGAAGUAGAAGUAGUACCAGUAGCAGCAGUAGUAGUAGUAGUAGCAGUAGAAGUAGUAGUAAUAGUAGUAGCAGUAGCAGUAGCAGUAGAAGUAGUAGCAGUAGGAGUAAAAGUAGCAGUAGUAGUAGUAGUAGUAGCAAUAGAAGUAGCAGUAGUAGUAGCAGUAGAAGUAGCAGUAAUAGUAGUAGUAGUAGCAGUAGCAGUAGUAGCAGUAGCAGUAAUAGUAGUAGCAGUAGCAGUAAAAGUAGCAGUAGUAAUAGUAGUAGUAGCAGUAGAAGUAGCAGUAAUAGUACUAGUAGCAGUAGCAGUAGAAGUAGCAGUAGUAGUAGUAGUAGUAGUAGUAGCAGUAGUAGAAGUAGCAGUAAUAGUAGUAGUAGCAGUAGCAGUAGCAGUAGAAGUAUUAGCAGUAGCAGUAAUAGUAGUAGCAGUAGCAGUAAAAGUAGCAGUAGUAGUAGUAGUAGUAGAAGUAGAACUAGCAGUAGUAGUAGUAGCAGUAGAAGUAGCAGUAAUAGUAGUAGUAGCAGUAGCAGUAGAAGUAGAAGUAUUAGCAGUAGCAGUAAUAGUAGUAGCAGUAGCAGUAGCAGUAAAAGUAGGAGUAGUAGUAGAAGUAGUAGCAGUAGAACUAGCAGUAGUAGUAGUAGCAGUAGAAGUAGCAGUAAUAGUAGUAGUAGCAGUAGCAGUAGAAGUAGAAGUAUUAGCAGUAGCAGUAAUAGUAGUAGCAGUAGCAGUAGCAGUAAAAGUAGCAGUAGUAGUAGAAGUAGUAGCAGUAGAACUAGCAGUAGUAGUAGUAGCAGUAGAAGUACCAGUAAUAGUAGUAGUAUGCUGAUUCGUCCCUUACAUGACAGAUCCCAGAUCAGUUCAAUCAUAGUGAAAGGUCUAUUAUUGUGA